rnacentral:lncRNA from 1 species
UCCACUAUACCAACAGAAAAUCAGAAAUAACGCUCAACCAUAUCUCCACAAAUCCUUCCUCCUAUAAAUUGGAUAUUUCAUUGUAUUCAAAUAUCCGUGUCACAUCAGAAAAAGGAGAACAAUAAAAGGAAAGAAAAAAAAAACACAAAAAAGGGAAAAUGGCAAAAGCUAUUGUUCUCCUCUCUGCCCUUUGCGUUUUGGCCAUUGCUAACUUCGCCGUCGCUGAGCCAGAAGUCUUUGAUGUUGAAGGCAGAGUCUUUUGUGACACAUGCCGUCUUGGUUUCGCCACCUCCCUUAGCGAGGCCAUUCAAGGUAUGAACAAUAAUAAUAAGUGUUCCUUAACCCCUUUUGUUUUUCACAAAGACAACAGAAGCAUUGGUGGCGCAAUAACAAGUUGUUGUCACGUAAUGAUCAGAAGGUGACAACAACUUCUUACAAAAUAACUUAUUCUUUCUUAAUGACAAAAUAACCUCUUACAAAAAAACAGCAUACAAUAUUUGGUGCUGCUUCUUUCUUGGAUCUUGUGCAUGCAUAAGGAAGGCUGAGCUACCUUGCAUGACAGGCAAAUGCCAAUUUAAGAUUUCUUGAACAUGGGUGCACCACUAAAAAAAAUAGGAAAAAAAAAAUAUUAAGUGGGAAUCAAUCUCUAUUCCUUAGGAUAAAUAACCCAAUAUUCAACCAAGUGCACUAUUUAAUGUUUUUGAAGUAUGGGUGCCAAUAGAUAAUAUUAGACUAAUUAUAGAAAAUACGUACAUAAAAUAUCUAGUUUAACAAUGAGAUCAUGGGUUUGCGUGGCUAUGAAACCGCCCCUAAUGAGAGAGGUUCAAUUGAGCCCCUUAGUUGAAAAUUUAUAUCGUGUAAUUAGAAUGCUUUUAGUGUAGCGGAAGAUGAUUACAAAUUGCUUUAGAUCGUAAUUUUGAAACCUAAAUGUGACGUUCAUAUAUUUUUUGAAAUUCCCUUAUUAAAAUUUUUGAGCAGUAAAAGAAUGUAUUAAUGGUGCAGGUGCGACGGUGCGAUUGACAUGCAGAGACAUCGAGACACACAAUGAAACAUACUCAACAGAAGGCAAAACCGACAUGAUUGGCAAAUACACACUAACAGUAGAAGGUGAUCAUGAGAAUGACAUUUGCGAAGUAACAGUGGUGAAUAGCCCAAGAGAGGAUUGCAAGGAAAUAGUUUCUGAGUUGGUUAAAGGCAGAGUUGUGUGCAGUAAAAAUGUUGGAAUGCACAAUGCUGUUCGAUUUACUAACCCACUUUUCUUCCAAAAGGACAAGCCUGUACCUGGCUGCAAAGAGCUCGUUGAGGAGAUGGAGCUUGUUGAUCUCUUGUUACUCGAUGAUUGAGCAAAAUUAAACUUUAAGAGAGAAUAGCUUUUGCCCCUUUCGUCAUUCAUUUUGCAAUAAGAAAAAAGAAAAGAAAAGAAUAAAUUGGAAUAGUGGCUUCUCCUGAAUGUGUACUCCCAUGGAAAAAGAAAAGAAAACUUUUUCCAAGAAGAUGAUCAUGUGGUAGCUUCUUAGAAAAUUUUGUGUUCCAUAAUUUGGUGUUACAAAUUGAUCAUAAUUUUGUGUCAUCAUCUUUUUUAUUUGGCAAUACUUACUAUGUUAUGAGAAGUUUUCUUUAACUUUAAUUAACUUUCUUCCUCAAUUGGAGAAUAAAUUCUCUCAUUCAUUUUGACUAGCAAGAAGUUGUUCAAACAAAUUAAAAGAAUUAUAUAUAUUGAGAAACAUGUAAACAACUCCGGAUCACUAAUUUGUUUUAACAAAUUGCAAUUUUAGAAUAGCAAAUAAAUGGAAAAUUUGAACCUACGACCUCGCUCACAACGGAUUUCGUGGAGUAAGGCGAAAUUAUAUUGAGAGGCUUUUAAAUUUAAUUAUUUUAUAAAAUAUUUAUACUAACAACAAAAUUUGCUUUCUAAACAACAAAUUAAUCAUUUAAGACAAAAAAUAAUAAAUUUCAAAAAUAAAAAGGAAGAGGUCCACAAAUUUUGAUCUGGCUAUCAUCACAAACAAGAAAAAGAAAUAAACGUCCAUAACAUAAUAUCUUAAGUUUUAAGCAUUAGCGGUGUCAAAAAUAUUUACUCCUUCUGAUCAAUCUAAGCAAUAAUUGUAGUUUAUUUUAUUAAGUAGCACUUAUUGGUGAAUAUCUAAAAUAAACUAUAAUAUGUCGAAUUACACUAAAAGAAUACUGGUGCAUGAAUACUUUUGUGUUCAUGCAGUUUCAGAAAAUAUUGUAAAAGAAAUUCAUUAUGUUAUCGAUAUAUAUAACUUAAUUCAUAUAUAAAAAGGAUAAAAUUUAAAUUGAAGAGUGAAGCAAAUAUACUAAUUAAUCGGUGAAGAAACUUAUCAUAAUUUAUAAACUUAUUGGUAUAAAUAACUUCAAUCAAACAACAAAAAAAUAUGCUGUAACACUUUUCUUUAUAGUAAUUAUUUAUAUAAAUUAUAUAAUAUAUAAUAGUAGUAGUAGUAGUAAUAAUAAUAAUAAUAAUAAUAAUAAUAAUAAUAAUAAUAAUAAUAAUUUAAAUAAAUUUGGGGCCUUCAAAUUUUAGGAGCUUAAGGCAACGGCCUCACUACUAGAGCCUUUAGAGCCGCCCAUGUUUGGCACUAAAACCAGCAUGAUCAUAAUCGCUUAAACUGAUAAGUUUAAAAGCUUCUCAAGGACAUUUAUAUUUUAAUGUGUUUGAGUUACAUCUUAUUAAUUAAUGUUAAAAACUCUUUUAGUAUAGUUAAUGAUUAAUUUACUAGUUUGCAACUACUUUAUUUUUAAGUGUAGAAAUUUUAAGACUUGUCAUAUGCAUCAAAGCUAUGCCCUGUUUCAUGCCUUCGUCUGUUGCGUUCUUGAUUUAGUUCAUGCUCUUUUUUAACUAAAUAUUGACAUCACUUAUAAACGUUUUGCGACGGGUCUUUCAUGUACUAAUUUGAUGAAACCUUCUCCAUAUUGGCUUCUCAAAUGAACAAUCAUAUGGAAAGUAAAUCUAUCCCCAUCGAUCUACCAAUUAAUGAACCACCCGAUCUUAGCACUAUGCAAAUUGAUGACUCCUCCACAAAUUCCCAAAAUACUUUCUUCCUACAUAAACUUCUCUCCAGAUCACCUAUUCCUCAUUCUCUACACCAAUCUCAUUAUGUAACAACUGGCCUCGAUCUAAGUGAUGAAAACGACACUAACUAUGACUUGUACAUCUUCGUUCCCUUAUCCUCAAGUGAUAAAACACGACUCUAUCGCCUUCUAAGAAUACCACAAAGGAAUCAAAGAUAUCAUAAAAGAGAAGUAAUCUUACUACCUUGAACUAAGAACUAGUAAAGGUUGAAAGAUAAAUCUAAAAGUACAAGUAACAAAGGUUCAAAAGAACUCUCAAAGUAUGAUAUACUUAAUCAAUAAAUGUUGUCUCAAGUUACUCGUAAAGUGGUCAAGAUCCGAAUCUAUUGUUUUGAUUUGCUUUUUAAGUAAAGGCGUUUGAUUUCUUCCAUAAAUCAAGACGUUGUUACUUUGAUCUUGUCAAGGCUAUAGAACUUACGUUCUUGGAAGUUCUUGGAAUUCUUUCCUUGAAUUCGUCCCAUAUCCUUUAUUUUCGUCUCUUUAAUUCUAGUUGUUCAAUUCCUUGUUGUUAUUGCUUCCACAUUUACUUCUCAAAUUCUUACUCUAAUUUGGAUUCCCGACCUAGUUGUUAUCAAGUGCUAUCCUUGGAAAUACUCAGUCAUUGUUAAAGUAUUUGGGCUCAAAGUAGGACACCAAUUACUUAAGCAGAAAAUAUUUGCACAAUGAAACCAACAGAGGAGGUUCCUUUAAUUGACUUAGGCUCUGAUUUUUUUUUUCCUCAAAUUCCAAAAGGAAGAAAAUAUGUUACAUGCACUACAUGAUGGGCCAUGGUUUAUUUUAAAUCACUUUUUAUCUGUGCGAAGAUGGGAACUGAAAUUCCUUGCAUCUGAGGCACAACUUACAUAUUCUGCCAUAUGGCUUCACCUGCCCCAACUUCCCACAGAAUUCUACGACAUAGAAAUUCUUCAGAAAUUGGGAAACAAUGUGGGUAAGCUACUUAAGAUUGAUGCAUGCACCUCCACCACUACUAGAGGCCGUUAUACAAGAAUCUGUGUAGAAGUGUCGCUUGAUAAGCCUCUAAAAUCUCAUAUUUAUAUUGGAACACAUAAGCAAAUCAUCUUGUAUGAGGGACUUAAUUUGCUUUGCGUUAAUUGUUGUUGCUUGGGCCACAACAAAAAACAAUGCACCCAUCUUAUACAAUUUCCAGUUGCAGACAAAGCUUCCACAAAUACUUCAUUCAACAAUCCCCAAGUUAACCCAACUACAAGCCUCUCUCCAACUAAUGUAGAACAAGAGUGGAAAAUAGUCACAUUCCCACAAAAAUCCAUCUCUAAAAUGCACAUGCACAGACAGGCUCUUGAUGGUGCACCUUCCAGUUCUGCAGGUACGCCGCCAACUCGAUGAUUGCUGCCAACACACGCUCCAGGUAAGUCCCCUAACCCUAAACCACCUUCCAUCCAAACAACUAAGGUAAGUGGAAAAGACAUCCACAUCCCUAAUAAUAUUUCCCAUAAAAAUAUGUUUGAUAUCCUUAAUGAUAAUGGAUCCUCCACUAAUUAGAUAGACGAGCUUACCCAUUUGAGUCAGCUCACUCCUAGUUCUCAAAAGACCUCUCUUAGCCCAAGCCCUACACCAACUAGUAGCCCAAGCCAUGCACAAUUCCUCACUUCUGGCACCACUGACACUUCUAAUACUCUUUCCAUGCAACACGUAAACCACAAUGCCACUAAUCACUCCUUCCAAUCUCCAUCGAAUGACACAUCUUCCUCAAUAGUGACACUUCAUGGGUCUAGUAUAGAGACCCAAAUUCAAGCAUAUUUUCUAAAAUCCAACACCAAUCACAACCCUGCAAAACCCACCCUACACUCAACAGAUCCGCCCCAAUCCAAUCAAACCCAAGCCCAUGCAAAAACCCCACUAAAUACCGACCUCUCUCACCCAAACGCUUCCCAAAGCCCACUCAUAAGCUCACCGCUUAUUACCACCAAUCCAGUAUCCCAGUGUCCUCUUUCAACACCAACUCCCACAGAUAAUUCCAACACGCUAGAUUUUACUCCCCGUCAAAUACAAAAUGCCACGCCUCCCCUUCCAAACUCCAUACAAUCUCACUCCCCACUCGAGACCAUCACUCACUCCAACAACAUCCCACCAAAUUACUCCUCCAUCAUACCACUGUUUUCACUCCCCCAUCCUCCACCAAUGAACCCCAACUCAUGCUUCUUCAUAGCCCAGACUCCACAUGCACCAAACAAUCCAAACUCCUAGUGAGAACUGGGCCUACAGGAUCAUGCACUCAUAUUCACACUGAAAGUGAACAAACAAGAAAUCACCAUACUUCUCAACAAUCUAUCGGACCUUGCUCAGAUAGUGAUGGAAGGUAUGAGCUUGGCGACGAACAUCUUUGGCCAGUACCACUAGUCUAUGAUGCCACACACCGGCUUAACCCCAUACAACCCCUAGCUCCACCAACACCAUACUGGGAAACUACCCAUCAAUUCCCAUACAUGAUCAAUCUUCCUUUAUACCCUCAUACUCCAUUAGUCUCUCCUACACCAAGGAUCCAAACAUAUGUGCUCCCACCACUGCCUCUGCUUCCACCAUCUCCAAUAGGGCCACACGAUCCGCUCACUCAGUCCCCGGAGAACUCCCCCCUCCCCUCCAAACUUUCCCAAUCACAAUACACAAAAUAAAAUUUUCCACCAAGAGAUAGCUCAAGCAAUGAUCAACUUCAGAAAACAAGGCCAAACCCUGUUUGGCUCAGUGGGAUCAAGGUCUUAGUCCUCAAAUAGGAGUACGCAAAAAGGUUCAUUCUCAAUUGCCCUCCAACCAUGCAUUGUUGUUACCUAAGAAUAAGGCCAACCAUAAACCUCGAUGUGGGGAAGUAUGCCCUAGUUAUCACUCCCUCACUCCUACUCCCACUAGCGAACUAGUCCACUACGGAGGUUCCGCCAGCACCACACACCAAUAAUUCCAUGAUGAACUUCAUCGUUUGGAAUUAUAGGGGAGCUCAAUCUCCUAAUGUUCAUCGUAACUUCCGCUUCAUGCUUGAUUACCAUCCUCCAUCCUUGGUCGUGCUAGUAGAAACUCACAUCACUGAUCACCAUCACAUUAGGGAUGAUUUCCAAUUCAUCCAUAUGGCCGAAGUGCCUGCUGUAGGGAACGCAUAAGGUAUAGCUAUAUUUUGGUCCCUGGAUACCUCACAGUUGAUACAAUUGCCAUGACACAACAGGAGGUCCAUUGCAUGAUAAUCCCUCAACAACAGAAAUGGAUGUUCUAUGCUAUUUAUGCUAGCCCACAUGCACACAACUGCACUAUAUUAUGUGAAAACUGGCAUUGUAUUUAUGAUCACUACAAGUGUCCAUGGUUACUAGCGGGAAAUUUCAAUGAAAUUCUUAGUAGCUCAGAGAAAUUUGGUGGUAGGGUUAUUAAUCUCAAUAGAUCAAAUCAAUUCUUAAAUUGUUUAAAUUAUUGUAACCUAAUAGAUCUAGGUUUCAAAGGUAGUCGCUACACUUGGACUAAUAACCACAAAUGUGGCUCCACUAUUCUUGAACGUUUGGAUAGAUGCCUAGCCAAUUUUGAUUGGAAUGUCUUGUUCCCUAAUUCUCUAGUGACUCAUUUGCCUCGAACGCACUCUGACCAUUGCCCCCUUCUUUUAAAUUUACUAGGGAAACCAUCACCAAGCACCAAACCCUUUCGAUUCGAAACAAUUUGGACUUCACAUCCAGAUCUGCGUCCAAUGAUUAAAAAUAUAUGGCAACAACACUUACACCUACUGCCUUCCAUAAAAUGCUUUCAACAUACGACUUCUUAUUGGAAUCGUUAUACUUUUGGUAAUAUUUUUAAAAGAAAGCAAAAACUCCUCGUGGCAUCUCAGACAGGGUCACGUUCAUGUUCUACUUGUGGCCGCACUCAUCGUGGCGAGUGUUGGGGUACAUCUCAAAGUUGCUACACUUGUAGAGAGGUUGGUCACAUUACGAGGUUUUGCCCUCGAGAUAGUGGUACUGGUCAGACAGGCACGCAACAACAGGGUACUAAGAGAUAGAAGAAAGAAGAUCUAUCUCGAUUCUAUCUCUAUCUUUCGACAUCUCAUCUCAGAGAAUCAGGCUUUUCCCCUUCCGUAAGCGCAUAUAGGGAAGUGGGCCCUCGGCUAUUGAGAGGACUCAUAUUGUCUUUCUUUUAUUUACUGGAGUUUCUUGUUCCCGCGCCCCUAGCUUUAAUCACCCUCGUGAAGAGGCGUACUCCGAUACCAUUGAUGUCCAAUAGCUUUAAUAGUAAUGGCUGGAUCUACUACUACCUCGUAACCGAAACAAGAGCUUGAACAAGAGUUGCUGUCGAUAUUGGCAACAUUUUUAGGGAGCUCUUUGGGAGCGAAAUGACUGCAUAGCAGCCUGCGGAAAAAGCUCUAGAGCCCCUACUCCUAAGUUGGAGCAAGAAGCAAGGGAUUGAGCGCAUCUUUCCCCUUUCUAUUAGUAGUAAGGUGGCUACAACGGAGCAGCUUACUCCUGAGAUAGAUUUACCGAUUAAACUAGAUUUACCCGCCUUUUUCACCCAAGCGGAUUUCCCCGUGCUACCGAGUUUUGAGAAGACUACGGAUCCAUUCAACGAUCUUUUUGACGCUCGUUUAACGGGCCUCCAGUCCUCCUUACACUACUCAACUAGUACAUUCUUGCAAAAUCUAGAACGAGAUCUUAUACAAGAAUAUAAUUUUGUUCUCCAACUUGAAGAGGAUUUAUGAAAAUUGAAAUCUCGUAUCAAUUGGCUAAAUGAAGGAGACGCCAAUACAAAGUUCUUCCACCAAUCAACUUUAAAUCGUUGCAGACGUAAUCGUAUUAGUGCUAUCCAAAAUCAAGCGGGUAAUUGGUUCUACGAUAUCCCCACUAUCAAAUCUACCUUCAUUAAUUUUCUUUUCCACUCUAUUCACUACUAAAUCUACCCUCUCUUUUAAAUCACUUCUUUUUUAUCAAUACAACGUCUUACCUUCCCAUGAAGCAUCCCUCUUAGACAGGCGACUUGAAGACCUUGAAAUAACUCAAGCAAUACACUCCUUUAAGGGGCCCCUUAAAGUGCGGAGGGAGGAUUUCUACACGCAACAUCGUGGUUGGGCAUUCCUCCUUCUUUUAAAAGAAGACUAGAGGAUGAAAGAAGAAGCUCUUAUAUUAGAUAAAGCCUAAUUCUACUGUCCUUUGAAGAUUGGAAGAUAGUAAAAGCCAACUUCCUUUUUAAAGAUCACUCAACGAUGUGGCAAAUCCCCUUUUUUAAGUCUAUAAAUUGGAAGCAGGAAAAUGGUCUCCGCCCCUACUUUUAUCAAGAAUACUGGUAUGAGAUUUCACACUCAGUCAUCACUUUUUGUAAAAAGGUUUUUUCACAAGGAUGCAUCCCUGAGGAAAUCAAUAAUACCUACCUAUGUCUUAUUCCUAAACAACGCCAUGCAGCAAAAGUUACUCAUUUUAGGCCCAUUAUCCUUUGCAACACUAUCUACAGAAUUAUUACCAAAAUUAUUGUAAACCAUAUCAAGCCCUAUUUAUCUAAGAUAAUAGGUUUAACUCAAGCUAGUUUUUUAAAAAGGCAUAAGGCCGUUGAUAAUGCAACCAUAGAUCAGGAAAUCGUGAACAAAUUCCAAAGAAUGAAUGGCCGAAUCCCCCAUAUACUUCUUAAAUUGGAUCUCGAAAAGGCUUUCGAUAGGUUAGAAUGGUGAUUCAUAUGUCACACACUUAUUUUAAUUUUCCACCAGCUCUCAUAUCUCUCUUCAUGUCUUGCGUCUCCACUUCUUCAAUUUCCAUCCUAUUCAGUGGCAUGCCAACACACUAUUUCUUACCCACUAGAGGUAUAAGGCAAGGUGAUCCUCUCUCACUAUACCUUUUUAUAUUAUGCAUGGAAAUGCUCACUCGCUCCAUAGAAAGAGCAGUUGAUUAUAAUCAGUAGUCACCCAUCACUCUUUCCCGGUCACGUCCCCGCAUUUCUCAUCUACUCUUUACGGACGACAUUAUCCUCACUUCAAAACUAACAACGACCUCCUGUCACUCCAUUAUUGACACUCUCAUAUACUUCACCAACUUAGCUAAACAAAAGAUAAAUUUUCACAAGUCAAAGAUCUUUUUUUCAAAAAAUUGUUCACCUUCUCACAAAGAAUUUGUCCUAAGCUCUUUCAACAUGUCCGAGGGAAAAUCUUUUGGUAGGUACCUAGGUUUUCCCAUUUUCCUCAAAAGACCUAUGCAAAGAGAUUUUCAAUUCUUUCUCGACAACUUCAAAUUAAGGCUUGCCGAUUGGAAGACUCAUUGCCUUACUAUGGCAGGUAGAGCCACCCUUAUCAAAUCUACCCUCAACUCUCUCUCUAACUAUACCAUGUAAUAUAUCUCCAUACCACAAAAUAUCAUCACAUUGUUGGAUAGAUAUAAAAAAUGUUUCUUUUGGGGCUCAACAUCCCAAAAACAGAAACUACAUCUGAUUAAAUGGGAGAUCGUUACAUUACCAAAAUCCCAAGGAGGUCUUGGAAUACAAAACAUCUCGCCCUACUAGCCAACUUAGUACGAAGGCUUUUUAAACAUCCGUCAUCUUUUUGGGCAUCUAUACUAGUCACAACGUACAUUACCUCUAAAAUAUCCUUCUUCAUUUGGAAAAGAACAUCCAACAAGGAUGGCACCAUUGUCAAUUAGGAUCUAAAUGGAUAGUCUCAUCUGACAACCAUAUCAAAUUUUUGACUGACAGUUGGAUUGAUCACAACACUCUCCUUAGAUCCUUAAUUGAAGGUCCCCUACCACUCCUAGAAUCCCAACGCCCAAUUAGCUCCUACAUCCGCAAUUACAACUGGGACCUUGCUAAACUACCUUUUAAUCUUUCCCAGGAAAUACUUCUUAAAUUACUUAGUAUUUACUUAUCCCAAUACCCCAAUCACCAUGUACUCUCAUCUGGAACCUCACAUUUUCAGGACAAUUUACUGUCUAGUCAUGUUAUUACGCAGUAACACCAACUACCCCUUCUAUAAACUAUGCUUGGGCUUGGAAACUGCCCACACCACCGAAAAUCAGAUACUUUCUUUGGCUAUGUAGCCAUCAUAGGCUCCCUACAAAUGCCUACUUAGCUCGCCUUAAUAUUAUCAACAACAACCUUUAUAAUUACUGUUCCACGGCUGAGGAGACUAUACAUCAUAUCUUCUUCGAGUGCUCUGCCUCAAGACCAUUAUGGGCUCACCUAGGACUUCUUCAUCAUAUAAACACCCUUCAACAUCUGAGCACUUCACUAAUUGAGCGAAUCAAGUUUUUAAUCAAAAAUUAUAAUCACCAUAUCCCCUAUAGCAUUCCUCCGUCAACCCUAAUUCUUUAUUAUCUAUGGGGUAUAUGGAUCCAACGCAACCAAAAUCUAUUCCACCCAACAACAAUCUACUCCUGCUUACUAUUUACAAAUCAUUAAAAAAAGCCGUGGAAUUCCACUUCCUCACAUUGCAACCACACAGGAACACAAAACUAACACCUCUCUACAUCAAAUGGAAACCACCCAACCACAACCACUACAAAUUAAACAUUGAUGGAGCAACUAAGUCCCGGGGGUUAAAUGGAAUAGGAUGGGUCAUACGAUCCUCUGAAGGGAACUAACUUUUAGGAUACUCUAAAUGAUAAUAGGCUAGAUUCAUGUAAUUUGGCGACUGUGUACGCCCCAGCUUGACUAUAUUUCAUUGUUAUAAGAUAGUUAAAUGAUGUUAAAUUGGCUCUAAUUGUGAAUUUCAUGUUUUGCAGGAGUGAGUGGCAUGUAUGAGGACUUAAAACUGUAAUUGGAGCUAAAUGGAAGCAAGAGAAGCCCCUAAGAGCUGAUUACGUAGGAAAACAAGAGAAAAAAGAGUUGAAAUGAAGACCCAGACUAGCGCGGCCACUAGCACGACUGCGUUAGCCCAGGAAUUCGAGGCAAAAUGGUAGGCCAUAUGUGUGGUCAUUAGCGCGUCUACUAGCGCGACUGCGCUAGCCCAGUUCUGGAAAAAUAAACUUCAGGGGUAAACUUGGAAGUUCGGGGGUAAAUCCACUUAACCUAUAGAAAGUCCAGCUCGCCCAUGGGAGGAUUAUAAAGGUUUUCAUAGCUUAGUUCAAGGCAAGGAGAGGCAAAAGGCAAGGGGGAUAAUUCAACAUCGAUUUCUUCCUUUAUCCUUUUUGUGUUUUACUAUUUGUGAUGAAUUUGACUAGUGUUAUGAUGAACACUAGUAUGAGUAGCUAUAUAUUUAGUCUAAUGUUUUGAUGGAACCUAUUGAAGGAUGAACUUCUUGUUAUGUUAAUAUAGUUUGCCCAGUUUAAUCUCUAUUUGUUCAACUAUGUUUUUAUUGUAGUUAAUUGAUAGGAUCCUCAAUUACUUGUGUCUAUUUAGUGUGCAAAACUGGGGAGAGAGUGCAUAUUUAGGUAAUUAUUGAACAACACCACUCCCGAAGUAUAUGAGGGAUCAAUAACCGAGGGUUUAAAGGCGGGAUUAGGGAUAACAAAGCCUUGGGUGCAAUCUAAAGUGAGCUGUAAUAAACAAAGCCAGCUAGCAUAACUCGGGAGAAUGCGUUUAGUAAAUUGUCGUGAUUACUCGGGAGAGAUUUACGGUAAUAAGAGUGCUCAUGAUUGAUAGAGACGAUUAGGCAAAUCUAUGUAAAACAUAACUGGAAGGGAUUCCAUCAAUAGGGAAAAUCAUAACCUGAGAUAUUUCUCUUAAUUGUUUACAACUUAAUCAUAGUUAGUCUUCAGUUGCUUAUUUUCAGUCAGUCUUAGUUAGUAGAAACAUCCUCAAUUGUUAUUCAGAAUGUUUGGGAAGUUGAUUACGUAGAAUUUCAUUAGUCUAACAAGAGUAAUUGAUAGGUUAAUUCCUUGUGGGUUUGACUCUGGGCGAAAUAUUCAGAUUAUAUUUGCAACGCCCGCGUGUCCUUUUUAUAAGGCAUAGUUGGGCGUGAUCACUAAACAUAAAGAGUUUGGAAAUAACAUACAAAUGGAGCUAACUGCUUUGCUUUACGGCUUGCGCUUGUCUUUACAGCAUGGUUACUUCCCAAUGGAGAUUAAUAUAGAUGCCAAAGAGGUAAUCACUUUAAUCCAUUCCAACAAUCCUCACUAUACUAACUUGAUCAAUGAUUGCAGGUUGCUGCUCAGGCAACAUGAUGACCCACUUCAUCAGCAUACAAAUAGGGAGGCAAAUAUGGUAGCUGAUGGUUUAGCAAAACAUGGUACUCAAUUAUCAUGCAGCAACGGCCUACAACUUUUUUAUACACCACCACCUUUUGUCUACCAACACUUCCACGAAGGUAAAACAUGGGAAGAGAGACGGAGAUUUAUCAACUCUUGCAUUUUUGUUAUCCUCCCUAUCCCCCCUAAUGUAAAUUCAUGCACAACUAUGAUCUCCGCUCUCCCCUCCGGUAACAAUCCGGCUAGUUUUUGUAAUGAUCCUUCCAUGGAUCCUAGUAGUGAAGUAGCUCGUAGUUUUUGUACUGGUCCGCUUCUGGAUUAUAGGUCAAUAGUAACUACUCAUGUAUCAUCAGUCCCCACAAAUGCCACGAGCACCUUGCCCUAUGUAUAUUAUGCAACGUAGAAAUGAAGUUAGUAAUCUUUUAUGACCCAAAAAAGUAAGAUUUCUAUAUGUAUUUUAGGAUUUCGUUCAUUUCCAAUGAAUCGUCUAUUAAAUUAUGUCAAUUGAUGUUUGAUAAAAGAAUGAAAAGAACUUUCCUAAUUACUUGAGAAGAAAAUUCUUUUUUCUUUAAAAAGGUAGGAAGUAAAAGUGUUUUUGCUUUGCAGUAUCAACCUGCAAAAUGUGAUAAUUGUCACAUCUUCUUUUUACCACCCGAGGAGGUAUAUAAGGAAAUUUUUUCAAUUAAAGUGAUAUUAAUCGAAAUGAGAUUAUUUAUUUAUUUUCAGAGUCGUCACUUAGAAUAAUUUAUGUUGUCCCAAGUCACCGAUUUAUUUUAAAUCCCAAAUCGAGGAAAUUUGACUCUGUUUUACAGUCUGCGAACAUAAAAGACCGGGUAAGGAAUUCUAUUAACCCGGGAGAAGGUGUUAGGCAUUCCCGGAUUCCGUGGUUUUAGCACGGUCGCUCAACUAUUAAUAAUUGGCCUAAUUAUCUAAUUUAUUACAUGUUUUAAACCUAUUGUGCAUUUUUAACUUUAUAACUGCUUUUAUUUAUUUAUGGAAUUAUUUCUAGAACAAGUUACGAUUGUCGUACACUUGUUUGUUUUGGAACACAUUGCAAAUCACGCUACAUGAAAUGCACCCGUGAUUUACAACAUGUUCAUUUUUAUUAUCGUUCAAAGUUGUGGUCGGGUCACAUGAAAUGUACACCCGGAUUUGGGAAUUAUGUAUCACAACUACGCCACAGGAACCGUACCCAUAGUCGCGAUAGUUACUUAAUCACGCCUAAAGCAUUUCUACGAAUAUUUGAUUAAGGCUUAAUUUAGAAGUGUACCUAAAGUUGUGAUUAUGUCUCUAGGCUAAAUACCCUAUGUCAUGUAACUAGGUAUAAAGGUUCAAUACUAUAUGAGAUAUUUAUUUAAUUUAAUUGGGAAGCUUAUGGAUUACAUGGAAAUGGAAUAAUCCUAAAAUGGAUCAAUAAAAUGUCAUUAUGGAAAUGGGCCUGGCACAAUUCAGCUUAUAGGCCCAAAAUUUCUUUCUCUUCAAGAUUAAACCCAUAACCAAUGUAAAGAAAUGAGCAAUUUGCAUAUUAAAUCACAAACCUGGUCCACUCAAGUCUACCAAGUUAGAGACAAAUUCCUUAUUAAACAUAUAAUACUACUAACAAAACUCAAAACUGUCCCCAUUAAUUUUAAAUUGAAAACACAUAAGCACUUACGACAUGAAAUCAAACUCAUUUCAAAACUAAAAAUAUGCCCAAGUUAUAUCAUUUGAAUCUAAGCAUACUUACGCUAAGAAGGUUACAUACUAACUUUAGUAAUUAAUGUAAACAAACGCUCAAAACAUCAAAUCAAAUAAAUAAAUAAAACAGGGAACAUUCAACUAAAAUAUAGAAACAAAAACAGAAAAUUAGGCAAAAAAAUAAUUAGAGCAAAUAUAUUAGUGGGAUCUAAGAUGGAAAUGGACCUUGUGAUGCAAAUCGUAUAGCAACAGAGAAAAGGGCCGGCUCUGAGUUGACGACUAGAAUUGAACAGAGAAUCACGAACGGAAAACCUCGCAUCGGCCACCUCUAACGCCGACCUCCCGAACGGGAUCUCGCCGGCGACUUCCCCAUGGAUUCUACCAUUUUUAGCGUGAAGAAGGGGCUGUUUUGGAGCUGAUUUUCAGAGCAGUUUUUUUAGCUUCAUUUCGAGAAAAUUUAAGCUGCAUUUUUUGCUCAAUUUUGUGAUUGCUUUUCAGCUCGUUUUGGGUGAGGUUUGGAGCUGAAAUGAGAUGGUUCGGAGGUGCUUUUCGGGUCAUUUUUUAGCAGCUUUUGGACCUGUUUUGCAGGUAAUUUUUGCUGCUUUUCUGAGAUGCCUUUGUUGCGUUCUUGAGUUGGUUUUUAGUCAAAAUAGGGGCUAUUCGGGUGAGGUUUUUGCGUGAUUUUUUGGCUAGUUUCGGGCUAAGGGAGGUUGUUUAUGGAGGAGGAAGAAGGCAGCAACAGCUGCUGCAUUUUUUGCCUCAAACAUCUGCAAUAUUUCUUUCAAAUGCUGCUGAAAAUCGUGGGUUUUGAGAAUGGAUGAAGCUUUUGUAAUUGGGGGUGAGUGGAUGUGUUUUUUGUUUCUUAGCUUAAGAAUUUUUGGAGUUUGGAAAGGUGAUGGUGCCGUUUUCUUCAAGAGAGGGGUCUUCCCUUCUCCUCUGAUUUUUUUUUCUUUUAGGUUAAGGGAACUCCUUUUUAUAAGAAAUAUUAGGGAUUAGGUUUUAAUGAGGGGAAGGGUUAAUGGGCCAGGUUUUGGGUAUGGUAUUGGGUUGGGCUAGUUUAGAGCAAAUUAGAUUUUGGCUUCGAAUUAAGCUGGUCCAGAUGAAAUUAGAAGACCAAAUCUACUUCUUUGCUUUUUUCUUUGUUUUUCUUUUGAUUUUAAAUUCUAACAAAUUAAUUCCUAAACUAAAACCUAACAUAACUCUUAUUAGCAAAUUUAAUUCUAUUUAUCUAUUAACAAAUGCAUGUAAAAUAUAAAAAAUAUUUUGUUUGAUUUUUAUUUAUUAAUUCUAAUAAUUAAAGAGUGACUAAUUUCUAAAAAUGCAAAUUAAACCUAAUAUGGCAUGAAAUUAAAAUGUGAUAAUUUUUUAUAAUUUUUCUAUGAUUUUAAGAUAUUAAACAUGCAUGAAAUGCAACUAAAUAAAGAAAAACUCCUACAAUCCACUAAAAUUAUUUUUGGUCUAUUUGUAGGAGUUAUUUCUAUACGAGGCAAAAAUUAGGUGCUCACAGCUGCCCCUUUUUACUGGAAAACAUGAAGAGUUUUCGAGCAAAGAUAAAGUGAGCAAUUACGAGCGAUUGUUGCCCGUUUAGAUACUCCAUGGGAAGCAUUUUUGAACACGUUUGACCGAACCUUGCUUCAGAGGUUGCCUACAUAUCCUUGGCUUUAAAGGAAUCAGGCCGGUGUAGUUCUGGAAGAAUGAUGGAGUGAUGAGUUCGAGAGUCGAGCGAGGUUCCGUCGAGGCUCCGGUUUGUAGUCCUGUUAUUACAUCAAAAUCAAAGUUAAAAAGACUAACUAAGCUUAUGAGCUACGAGUUACAAGAUUCCUAUCUAUGAGUCUUCUGAAGCUUGAUCUUGAGUAUUGGUUGGUUCUUCAUGCAGACUCUGAUCUGAAUCUUGAUGCUUGUUAGCUGCAAGUUCUCAUUCUUCUUCAACUUCUCGGAUCAAGGCGAGACAUGCAAUCUUGUGACUUCAAUCAUGUCUUGAGCAGUCUACAUCUUUUAUCCGCUUCUGCACUUCGAGUUCCCUUCUUUUUUUUCUUUUAUUCUGGAUUGAGAUUCAUUCUUUUGGUCGUCUCGAACCCUGUGCCUUGAGGUAAAAANNNNNNNNNNNNNNNNNNNNNNNNNNNNNNNNNNNNNNNNNNNNNNNNNNNNNNNNNNNNNNNNNNNNNNNNNNNNNNNNNNNNNNNNNNNNNNNNNNNNNNNNNNNNNNNNNNNNNNNNNNNNNNNNNNNNNNNNNNNNNNNNNNNNNNNNNNNNNNNNNNNNNNNNNNNNNNNNNNNNNNNNNNNNNNNNNNNNNNNNNNNNNNNNNNNNNNNNNNNNNNNNNNNNNNNNNNNNNNNNNNNNNNNNNNNNNNNNNNNNNNNNNNNNNNNNNNNNNNNNNNNNNNNNNNNNNNNNNNNNNNNNNNNNNNNNNNNNNNNNNNNNNNNNNNNNNNNNNNNNNNNNNNNNNNNNNNNNNNNNNNNNNNNNNNNNNNNNNNNNNNNNNNNNNNNNNNNNNNNNNNNNNNNNNNNNNNNNNNNNNNNNNNNNNNNNNNNNNNNNNNNNNNNNNNNNNNNNNNNNNNNNNNNNNNNNNNNNNNNNNNNNNNNNNNNNNNNNNNNNNNNNNNNNNNNNNNNNNNNNNNNNNNNNNNNNNNNNNNNNNNNNNNNNNNNNNNNNNNNNNNNNNNNNNNNNNNNNNNNNNNNNNNNNNNNNNNNNNNNNNNNNNNNNNNNNNNNNNNNNNNNNNNNNNNNNNNNNNNNNNNNNNNNNNNNNNNNNNNNNNNNNNNNNNNNNNNNNNNNNNNNNNNNNNNNNNAGUUAUGUCGGGGAGGUCCACGGGUUAUGCCGGGAAAGUCAUCGGGUUAUAUUGGAAAAGGUCCACGGGUUAUGCCAGGAAAGUCAUCGGGUUAUGCCGGAAAGGUCCACGGGUUAUGCUGGGAAAGUCAUCGGGUUAUGCCGGAAAAGGUCCUCGGGUUAUGCCAGAGAGGUCAUCGGGUUAUGCCGAAAAAGGUCCUCGGGUUAUGCCGGAGAGGUCAUCAGGUUAUGCCAAAAAGGUCCUCGGGUUAUGCCGGGGAGGUCCACAGGUUAUGCCGGGAAAGGCAUCGGGUUAUGCUAGAAAAUGUCCACGGGUUAUGACGGGAAAGUAAUCGGGUUAUGCCGGAAAGGUCCUCGGGUUAUGCCGGGGAAGGUCAUCGGGUUAUGCCAGGAAGGUCCUCGGGUUUAUGCCGGGAAUAACUAGAGAAUGGGACCCUAUGUUGGAAAGAUUACCAGGUUAUGCUGGCAUCGACUAGGGAAUGGGACCCAAUGAUGGAAAGAUUAACAGGCUAUGCUGGCAUCGACUAAGGAAUGGGAAGCUAUGUUGGAAAAGACGUAGCUAGAGAUUGGAGACCCUAUGCUACCAUGAUUUUGAAUUAUUCUUCUUCUUUCUUUUCAUUUCAUUUUUUUAUAUUUAAGAAUAUGAGUAAAAGUGCAGGAAAGAAUUUGGAGGAGACUUCCUUUUUGGGUUGUUGUUGCAAAGCUGUUUCUAGCCCUUGUGCAGUUUAUUUUGGUUGCACCUGCUUCUUAGAAGGUUGCUUUGGAUUGCACCUAUUUUAUGUUUUCAAACAAAGAACAAUUGUUAGUUUAAAAUGGUGGUUGGUUUUGUGGCCUUGAUUGUUUCAAUCACUUGAUCUCGGCCCGUCUUCUUUGAUGAAGAUCUCAACUGCAACUGCUUAUUCCCUGAGGACCGAUUUCAUUUCUGACGCUGGAGAAACUCUGGCUUUUCCACACUUUACCAUGAUUAUUGGGCGGUGGGACUCACCCUUUUCGACUUUAUUUUUGCCUUUAUAGGCCUUUCCCUUCAGACGUGUUUAUUUUUUAUGACUUCGAAGCAUUGGAGAACUUUUGGCUCCUCAAACUUUGUCGCAACGGCUAGUCGCAUGGGACUUAACCUUUUCCAACUUUAUUUCGCUUUUAUAGGCUUUUCAUUUCUAGCUUCUUUCUUCCAACUUCAAUUUCAGAGCAUUUGGGAUCCCUUGGCUUUUUAAAUCUUUGCCGAGAUGGUUAGCCACGUGGGACUUGACCUUUUCAAUUUCAUUUGCCUUUAUAGGCACUUCAAUUUGAUUUUCUCCUUCCAAGAGUUUUGAUUUCGAAACAUCGGCCGUCAUGGCCAGUCGAGGUUGACUUAUGCCCCUGACGAGGCUGGUGCCCUUUUGCAUAUUAGCUUGUAUCAAAUGAGAACCCUGUAAAUCGGUCUUACCAUCCUUUCUUUGUCUUAGUUUCGGAACAGAGUUAGGCCAAAAGGGAUUCAAAGAAAACAAACAAUGGAAUGGAGAAUGAGUUUAAAAAAAAGUGUCUCUUUCGGGGAAAGGAAAAAAGGACUUAUCUAGAGUACAUGCGGACUUCAAUGAACAUGACAUGCCUUUUGGACUGGAUGUCUGAUCUGUGUAAACCGUCCGACUCUCAGAAAUUCAUCAUAACCUUUGCCUCAAAAUCGAGAAACCUUUCCAUAACUUUGUCGAUGCCGAUGGCUGUGAGGAUCCUCUUUUCGAUCAGGGGCACCCUUUGCGGGUUUUCCCGAACUGACCUCUCUCAUUUCUCUUCUCACCAUCGCCUUAUAGUGCUCUUUGCGAGUUUUCAUCAACAAUACUCUCUCAUUUUCAAUUUCUCUGCUUACUAUCGCCUUACGGUGCCAGUGUGGGUUUUCACCAAUAAGACUCUCUUAUUUUAUUUUCUCUCAUUUUGAUUGCAUCGGGUCCAAGUAGCUGCAUUCUACGAUCCUUGAACAUUCUUAUUGAUUGAUCGGAAGGACUUGAACAGGAUUUGGGGUAAAAAGAAUUUGGAUUGAAUUACAACUUUGGAACCUUUCAGGCGAAACCAUCGCCGAACCAUUGUAACAUAUGCCCCAAUUUCACUUUUGGGGAAUUUAGAUUUUUAUUUUGGUGUGACUGAACUCCAGAGAGAGACUGCCUAUGUAUCCUUUCGGAAUCAAGUCAAACGUAGUUUAGGGAACUUUGUUUUUUUAUUUUCUUUUGUUUUUCUAUUUUGUUUGUUUUCCCUUUCUUUUUCCUUCCCUUUUCCUCUCUUUUUUUUUCAUUUUUCAUUUCAUUUUCUUUGUUGUUUCUUCCCUUUUUUGUAUCUUUCUUUUCUUCUCUUUUUUUCAUUUCUUUUUCUUUUUGCCCUUUUCUUCCUUUUUUUUGUAUUUUUCUUUUUCGUCUCUUUUUAUUUUUUAAUAACACUUUCAGGUUCCAAAGAGGGUAAUCAAAGAAGAGUAACCGGCUCAAAUGGUUUAUAAAAGGGUUAAUGGUGUUUGGGUAGCGAGAACGAAAGUCUUUGUUAUCCCAAUCGGAGAAUAUUAAUACUAUAUGGAGGAUCAAACAUAGUACCUUUUUGGCUGCAUUUGCAUUGACAGUUGUUUUGGGGAUAUUUCUUUCGAUGUGUCCCAGGUACAAUGCUCUCUUUGGCAGUACUCUUGUUAGUUACUAUGUAGGGAUCUUUCUAAUCUGGAGCCAAUUUUCUUUUAGCUAUUCCAACUAUUUGUUUUAUUUCCUUUAAACUUAUCUUCAUUGCAAUAUAAUUCUGAUUCAUUAUUUCGAGGUCUGACAGCGUUUCAGGAUCUGGGCAUGAAGUCCGCAAGUAUUCAUGUUAUUGAAAUCUGCAUUUAACAGAACUGAAAAGAAAAUAAGAAAAGUGACAAGAUUAAGAAGAGAAACAUUCCUGGACAAUGAAAUAUUAAUUUCAUUUUUUUUGAUGAUUUUUUUUUUGGAUUUUUGAAUUUUAAAGAUAUGAGGGCUUACAUCGAAAAGUAAGACAAUAAAGUAAAACAUCCGGAUCACACCUUGAGACAAUCCGAAUACAGAAAAGAUAGCAAGACCGGCUACCGAGACUCUUGUCUGAUGGGGAACUUUCAGGCUUGACGACCGUCUUUUGGCUUUUCUUCUGUUUCGGCAAUGGCUGCAAUAGCCUUCAGUACCGGAUCAAAUUCCUCAUUUUCACAAAUCAUUUCGAUUAUUGGCCCAGUGUUAUGGGCAGGCAACAGAUUGUUCAUCACAUCAGGAGUUUUUUCAUCCCAAAUAAUAAUUCUUUCAGCUUCAAUCAAAUAUUCAACUGCCCUUUUGAGGGUCCAACAGUCCUCUGUAAUGUGUCCCACUACUCCGGAGAGGUAUUCACAUCUAGCAUCAGCUCGGUGCGAUGGGGACUCGGGGUUCGGCCAGUUCGGGGCCACUGGAUGCAAUAGAUUUUGCCUGAUUAGCCUUUAGAGCAAGCUUGAAUACGAUUCACCAAUAGGGGUGAACUGAUUCUUUCUGAAAGGCUCUCUUGGGCGAGGAUUGUAUUGAGUAUCAUUUGGUUGGGGAUUAUAUGGAGCUUGGUAAGGAUGGGCAUUUCUGGGAGGUGGAGCUCGGUUUUGUGUAUAAUAUUGUGGUCGAGAGUAAGGUUGCGCGUUCAUCACCGCAUAGGGAGGCGGUGUCACGGCAUAGGCAUCAUCUUGAAGGGGAUAAUAGUGUGGUGGGACCAUAAGAGGUGCAUAUGAUUGGCUGAAUGACCUGCUGGUCCCCCUCGAGCUUGAAGCCAUCAUGGCUCCCUCUUCACUCCCAUCGUUGUUCGUCAAACCCUCUGAACCAUUCUUAGCAGCCUGUAAUGUGGCCUUAAAAGCAACAUGACUCAAGAUUCGACCUGUUUUUAAACCGUUUUCAACCAUUUCCCCAAUUUUGAUAGCCUCAGCAAACGGCUUUCCCAUAGCGGACAUCAUGUUCUGGAAGUAGUCCGCCUCUUGGUCCUGUAGAAAGACAGUGACCAUUUCAAUUUUGUUCAUUAGAGGCUUUGUCCUGGCAGCUUUCUCACACCAUUUGACAGCAUAUUCGCGGAAGCUUUCCGCGGUUUUCUUUUUCAAAUUGGACAAAGAGUUUCUGUCGGGAGCUAUGUCCAUAUUAUACUGGAACUGGCGGAUAAAAUCUCGAGCCAUAUUGUCCCACACGUGCCAAUGAGUAAUUUCUUGUUCCGUAUACCACUCAAAAGCAAUUCCGGUGAGGUUUUGCCCAAAAUAGGCCAUUCUUACUCCUCUUGCUCCACCGAGAGAUCAUAUUGUGGAGGUUGAGUAAAAGAGUAUGAGGUCACAUAUGCUAUUUCUGACUGAACCUGUGGACCCAGAAAGGUGAACAUUGGAGGCUCAACAUAUGGUCGUGGUAAAGUUGGUUGUGCUCUGGUGCAGACUGGUGCUGUAGAGAACAAUAUUGGAGGUGCCCUAGAAAUUGACGCCUAGGGGCGAACCACAGAAGGCAUGCUAGGAACAUUGGACGGCAUUGGAGGGUGCCCGCAUGAGAUGAGCGGGUUGGGUGCAGGGGCGUUGGUAACCUCACCUGACCUGGGAUCAACUUAGGGAACCCAGAGAUUGCACUUGGCGGUUCCCUACCAUUAGACCAGGAAUCCCACAUUUCAAAUAUGCGGAGACACAACAUCUUAUUCUCUUUAGCAGCUGCUGAUUCUAGCUGUAGAAUAGCCGAUGCCAGGCUAUCCUCAGGACCGAUGAUUGGUAGAUCGCUUGCGGAGGCCAUCUAUGCCUUUGGAUCUUAUAAAGGAGGGGAGGCUAGACUACUAACAAAAUCAACCACCAAAACUUGGCCUGUUUGCACACCCAACAACCUUUUUAGUUUUGAGACAUUUAACAUAUAGAAAAUCGCACGUUGGGAUGCAAUGCACCUAAUAGUUUAACGCUGCUACCAUGUGUUUGAACGGUUGCAUGUUUCAUCCCGGCCUUACCUAACACUUUCAGUAUGUACCUCUUUUCUUCAUUUCUGCCUCUCUUUAAUCACUCUUGAUUUUUUUCAUUUUGUUUUUGUCGCUCUUUUAUUUUUUUGGCACUCUCUUUUUCUCUUUUUGUUUGUCACUUUUUUAUUUAUUGUCGCUCUUUUUUUCUCUCUUUUUUUUCACUCUUUUCUUUUCUUUUAUUUUUUCACUCAAUUUUUCUUUAUUUUUUUUAGUUUAUUUUCACUCAAUUAAUUUUACGGCUAUAAUCGAAUCCGAUGGAGAUUGCCUACAUAUCAUGACGCCGCAUGAAUCAGAUCUUGCGUAGUUCGGGAAGAUCAAGAAUGGAGUAAAUAAAUUAACUCUUUUUUUAUAACACUCAGACCAUGAAAGCUUUGAGGCAAAAGAAAAACAUUUUUUUUUUCAAAAUUUUCGAAUGAAAUGCUUUAAAAGAAGAAAGGAAAUAUUUUUUUGCAUUUUUUGAUUUUGACUCUUUUUAUUUUAUUUUUUGAAAGAAAGAGUUCUGAAAAUUCCUUUUCUUUUGAUUUGAACUUUGGAAAUUUCAAAAGUAAAAGGAAAAUAUUUUCGUUUGAAUUUUUAUUUGUUUUCUCUUUUUCUAAAGAAAAAAGAAAAUAUUUUUGGAUUUUGGAUGUUGCCUCUUAAUUUUUGAAAGAGGGAUUUUUUAAGAAAAAUAAUUUGGAUUUUUGAGUUUUUUUUUUGUUUUUCAAUUUACCAAAGUACUUCUAAAGAAAAACGAAAAUAUUUUUGGACUUAAAGUUUUCAAAUUGUUUUUGACAUUUACGAAAGAAAGACUUUUAAACAAGAAAAAGAAUUAUUUUUUUCGUAUUCUCUCUUCUUCUUUUUUUUGAAUUUUUGGAAAAAAUACUUCAAAAUAAAGGAAACCCAUAUUUUGGAUUUUGAUAUUUUAUUGAUUUUUUUUAUUUCUUUUUCAGUAUGAAAGACUUCAGAAAGAAGGAAACUAUUUUUUGAGUUUAAAAAAUAUAUAUAUAUUUUUAAAUUUUCUAAGGAAAUGCUUCUAAGGAAGGAAUUAAAGGAAAAUUUGCCGGAACCGAUGAGGUUUGCCUACGUAUCUCACAUCCGGUGAGAAUCAGACCCACAUAGUUCGGUCAGUUUUGACGGAACAGGGAAACAUGACACUUGAAGACUUUGGUCUCGUUUUGAAAUGACCUUGUCCUUUUCUUUUUCCCUUAUUUUCCAAAAUUUCGGCAGAGUUUCGGAAAUUUUCAAAUACCCACCUCUCACUCUUGUUUUUGAUUUUUGAUCUUUUUUUAUUUUAUUUUCUUUCCCUAUUCUAGAAGCCGGUCAACAUGCAAGCCGAAACAAACAGAUGCGCAAGUAGCACGUAAGAUGCAUCAGGAUGGCCUUUUUAAUUUGGGUACACCUGUCCUAGACGAACCCGACCCCUGUGUUGAGUCCCCAAAGUCAAAUGCACGUGAUGCAAAUAAACGUUCCUACUAGGGCUCCGGCAUGAGGCUAUGUUAUUCUAGGUUUAAAAACCUACGUGUAUUGUUCUAGACCUGGCUUACCCGAGCGGACAGCUCGAGCCGAGGGGGAGGGGGGCAGCGUACCGGGAAUACAAAAGCUUCACCGGCUUUGCAACUUGUCCGAAUCUCGUUCUAAAAUUGGGAUAUGACUCUAACAGAAAAGAAGUCACACGAAGGUGUUAGGCAUUCUCGAAUUUCGUGGUUUUAGCACGGUCGCUCAACUAUUAAUAAUUGGCCAAAUUAUCUGAUUUAUUAUAUGUUUUAAACCUAUUGUGCAUUUUUAACUUUAUAACCACUUUUAUUUAUUUAUGAAAUUAUUUCUAGAACAAGUUACGAUUGUCAUACACUUAUUUGUUUUGGAACACAUUGCAAAUCACGCUACAUGAAAUGCACCCAUGAUUUACAAUGUGUUCAUUUUUAUUAUUGUUUGAAGUUGUGGUCGGGUCACAUGAAAUGUGCACACGGAUUUGGGAAAUAUAUAUCACAACUACGUCACGGGAACCGUACCCAUAGUCACAAUAGUUAAUAAAUCACGCCUAAAACAUUUUUACGAAUAUUUGAUUAAGGCGUAAUUUCGAAGUGUACCUAAAGUUGUGAUUAUGUCUCUAGGCUAAAUACCUCAUAUCAUGUAACUAGGUAUAAAGGUUCAAUAUUAUAUGAGAUAUUUAUUUAAUUUAAUUGGGCAGCUUAUGCAUUACAUGGAAAUGAGCUAACCCUAAAAUGGAUCAAUAAAAUGUCAUUAUGGAAAUGGGCCUCGCACAAUUCAGCUUAUAGGCCCAAAAUUUCUUUCUCUUCAAAAUUAAAUCCAUAACCAAUGUAAAGAAAUGAGCAAUUUGCAUAUUAAAUCACAAACCUGGUCCACUCCAAUCUAUCAAGUUAGAGACAAAUUCCUUAUUAAACAUAUAAUACUACUAACAAAACUCAGAACUGUCCACAUUAAUUUUAAAUUGAAAACACAUAAGCACUUACAACAUGAAAUCAAACCCAUUUCAAAACCAAAAAUACGCCCAAGUUAUAGCAUUUGAAUCUAAGCAUACUUACACUAAGAAGGUUACAUACUAACUUUAGUAAUUAAUGUAAACGAAGGAUCAAAACAUCAAAUCAAAUAAAUAAAUAAAAUAGAGAAUAUUCAACUAAAAUAUAGAAACAAAAACAGAAAAUUAGGCAAAAAAAACAAACAAUUAGAACAAAUAUAUUAUUGGGAUCUAAGAUGGAAAUGGACCUUGUGAUGCAAAUUGUAUAGCAACAGAGAAAAGGACCGGCUCUGAGCCGACGACUAGAAUUGAACAAAGAAUCACGAAUGGAAAACCUCGAAUCGGCCACCUCUAACACCGACCUAUCGAACGGGAUCUUGUCGGCGACUUCGCCAUGGAUUCUACCAUUUUUAGCGUGAAGAAAGGACUGUUUUGGAGCUGAUUUUCAGAGCAGUUUUUAGCUUCGUUUCGAGAAAAUUUAAGCUACAUUUUUGGCUCAAUUUUGUGACUGCUUUUCAGUUUGGGUGAGGUUUGGAGCUGAAAUGAGAUGGUUCGGAGGUACUUUUCGAGUCAUUUUUGAGCAGCUGUUGGACCUGUUUUGCAGCUGAUUUUCGUUGCUUUUCUGAGAUGCUUUUGUUGCGUUCGUGAGCUGAUUUUCUGGUGGAAACAGGGGUUGUUCGGGUGAGGUUCGGGCUAAGGGAGGUUGUUUAUGGAGGAGGAAGAAGGCAGCAGCAGCUGCUGCAUUUUUGGUCUCAAACAAUUGCGAUUUUUCUUUCAAAUGCUGCUGAAAAUCAUGGAUUUUGAGAAUGGAUGAAGCUUUUGUAAUUGGGGGUGAGUGGCUGUAUUUUUUGUUUCUUAGCUUUAAGAAUUUUUGGAGUUUGGAAAGGUGAUGGUGCGUUUUCUUCAAGAGAGGGGUCCUCCCUUCUCCUAUGAUUUUUUUUCUUUUAGGUUAAAAGAUCUCCUCUUUAUAAGAAAAAUUAGGGAUUAGGUUUUAAUGAGGGGAAUGGUUAAUGGGCCAGGUUUUGGGCAUGGUAUUGGGUUGAGCUAGUUUAGAGCAAAUUAAAUUUUGGGCUUCGAAUUAAACUGGCCCGGAUGAAAUUAGAAGACCAAAUCUACUUCUUUGCUUUUUUCUUUGUUUUUCUUUUGAUUUUAAAUUCUAACAAAUUAAUUCCUAAACUAAAACCUAACUUAACUCUUAUUAGCAAAAUUAAUUCUAUUUAUCUAUUAACAAAUGCAUGUAAAAUCUAAAAAAAUAUUUUAUUUGAUUUUUAUGUAUUAAUUCUAACAAUUAAAGAGUGACUAAUUACUAAAAAUGCAAAUUAAACCUAAUAUGGUAUGAAAUUAAAAUAUGAUAAUUUUUUUUAUAAUUUUUCUAUGAUUUUAAGAUAUUAAACAUGCAUGAAAUGCAACUAAAUAAAGAAAAACUCCUAAAAUCCACUAUAAUUAUUUUUGAUCUAUUUUUAGGAAUUAUUUUUAUACUGACAAAAAUUAGGUGCUCACAAUAAUUAUAGAGGAGAUGCAUAUCAAUGUCCGUUUUGCAUGCGUUAUAUACAAAUUUAUUGGUCCUCAUUUCCAAAUAGACGAUUUUUUUUUAUUAAUUUUUUUAUCAAAACGAUAGAAUAUUUUAUUCAUUGGCCGACAAAGCAAAGGAGGUACCAAUUUGAAAACGGAAAAGGGCCA